rnacentral:ncRNA from 1 species
AUUGUAACUGCUUUCCUGGGUUAUGAAUAUAGCCCAAAAUGGUUUAAUAUAAGUAAUAAAGAAAAUAUAAUAAAGCAUAAUAAAAUAAACAAUCAUAGACUGUUUAAUAAAAGCAUAGUUAAAAGAGGAUAUUGUACAGGCCGUCCAAAAGAUAAUAUUGAAAUUUCUGAAAGACUAAAAACAAUUAUUCAAGAAUUAGGUUUAAACCCUGUAUAUGUUUAUGAAAAUUUAAAUUUAGAAGAUACUAGAAAACAAAUUUUAAACGAUACUAGAGGUUUAAGCGGUAUAUAUAUGAUAGUUAAUAAAGUAACUAAAGAUUAUUAUAUAGGUUCUGCGUCGACUAAUAGAUUUUACGCUAGAUUCAGUAAUCAUGUUAUUUAUUUCAGAGGAAGCAAAAUAGUUAAAUUAGCAAUAAAAAAAUAUGAUUUAAUAAAUUUUGCUUUUAUUGUAUUAGAUUUAUAUCCUAAUAUUGUUACUAAGGAAAAUAACAAAGAAUUAUUGGAUUUAGAAGAUAAAUAUUUAAAAUUGUUAGUACCUAAUUAUAAUAUUUUGACAGAAGCAGGUUCUAGUUUUGGUUACAAACACACUGAGAUUGAUCGUCAAAAGAUGAAAGAUAUUUAUAGUGACGCUAGACGUGAAAGAAUCGGUAAUCUAAACAAAGAUAAAAAGCUUUCUCCUGAAACCAUAGAAAAAAUAAGAGAAAAGGCUUUAAAUAGACCUUCUAUGUCUGAUGUAACUAAACAAAAGUGUAUAACUAAUACAAGACCUGUUGUGUUGUAUAAUUUAAAUGGAACUGUUUACGGUGAAUAUUCUACUAUUUUAGAUGCAGCUAAAUCUAUAAACUGUGACGAAAAAACUAUUAGAAGAGCAUUAAAAACAGAAAAAAGAUUAGUAAAAAGACAAUGAAUAGUAAAAGAUUUCAAGUAAAUAGUUAUUUUAUUAUCAAGGCUGCGCUAUCCUUUGGAUAGUGAAACAGCUAAAGCUCUUUAUUAUACUUUAUUUUUAUAUUAAAUUAUAGUUCCAUGAGUAACAAUCUUUUUGUAAUCUUUAUAGAAAAAAAAAGAUUAAAGUGGUAUAUCCCGACAGGGAUAUAGAAUAGUCUUUAUGAUUAUUUGGCAAUGUUAGUGAAAACGAUCAAAGAAGUUUAAACUUCAAGAUCGUCGGUUAUAUAAAUGAUCGCGACAGACUGGGUCACUAAUGGGUGGCUGAAAUGCUGCUUAAUGCACAGGCGAAACUUUUGGUUAGGUGCAAGCUCUUCAUUUAACUAAUAGAAUAUACGAAUUUAAAGUUAUUCUAGCUUAUUAUCUAUAUAUAAUAAGUAAGUUUGUAUGUUCUGCCUUACGGGCAAAUGUCCUUAUGAGGUGCUACGGUUAUUACUAAC